UACGGAGGGUGCAAGCGUUAUCCGGAUUCACUGGGUUUAAAGGGUGCGUAGGUGGGUCUGUAAGUCAGCGGUGAAAUCUCCGAGCUUAACUCGGAAACUGCCAUUGAUACUAUAGGUCUUGAAUCAUCUGGAGGUGAGCGGAAUAUGUCAUGUAGCGGUGAAAUGCUUAGAUAUGACAUAGAACACCAAUUGCGAAGGCAGCUCACUACGGAUGUAUUGACACUGAGGCACGAAAGCGUGGGGAUCAAACAGG
rnacentral:rRNA from 1 species